rnacentral:pre_miRNA from 1 species
AGUGUAGUUGCUGGAUCAUGAGGUAUAUGAGUAUUUAGUUUCCUAAGAAAUUGCCAAACUGCCUUCGAAAGUUGUAGCAAUGUUUGCAUUCCCAACAGCAAU